GACGUAGGGCGCGAGCGUUGUCCGGAUUUAUUGGGCGUAAAGAGCUCGUAGGCGGCUCGUUGCGUCGGCUGUGAAAACCCGCAGCUCAACUGUGGGCUUGCAGCUGAUACGGGCGGGCUGGGAUUCGGUAGGGGAGACUGGAAUUCCUGGUGUAGCGGUGGAAUGCGCAGAUAUCAGGAGGAACACCGAUGGCGAAGGCAGAUCUCUGGGCCGUAACUGACGCUGAGGAGCGAAAGCAUGGGGAGCGAACAGG
rnacentral:rRNA from 1 species